rnacentral:rRNA from 1 species
GUCUUUUUGAGUUAUUUUAAAAGUCUGACCUGCCCACUGAAUUUUUAAAUGGCCGCAGUAUUCUAACUGUGCAAAGGUAGCAUAAUCAUUAGUCUUUUAAUUGAAGGCUGGUAUGAACGGUUGGACGAAGUAUAAGCUGUUUCAUAUAAAAUUUAAUUAGAAUUUUAUUUUUUAGUAAAAAAGCUAAAAUUUUAUUAAAAGACGAGAAGACCCUAUAAAUCUUUAUAUUAUAUUAUAUUUAAAUUUUUUUGAUUUAUUUUAUUUUUAUAAAAUAUAAUAUUUUGUUGGGGUGAUAUUAAAAUUUAAUGAACUUUUAAUUAUUUUAAAAUCAUUAAUUUAUGAAUUAUUGAUCCAUUAUUAGUGAUUAUAAGAUUAAGUUACUUUAGGGAUAACAGCGUAAUUUUUUUUGAGAGUUCAUAUCGACAAAAAAGUUUGCGACCUCGAUGUUGGAUUAAGAUAUAUUUUUAGGUGUAGCCGCUUAAACAUUAAGUCUGUUCGACUUUUAAAUUCUU